AUACAUGCAGUCGAGCGGANCUUUCAAAGCUUGCUUUUGGAAGGUCAGCGGCGGACGGGUGAGUAACACGUGGGCAACCUGCCUGUGAGACUGGGAUAACUUCGGGAAACCGGAGCUAAUACCGGAUAAUAUAAGGAACCUCCUGGUUCUUUAUUGAAAGAUGGUUUCGGCUAUCACUCACAGAUGGGCCCGCGGCGCAUUAGCUAGUUGGUGAGGUAACGGCUCACCAAGGCGACGAUGCGUAGCCGACCUGAGAGGGUGAUCGGCCACACUGGGACUGAGACACGGCCCAGACUCCUACGGGAGGCAGCAGUAGGGAAUCUUCCACAAUGGACGAAAGUCUGAUGGAGCAACGCCGCGUGAGCGAUGAAGGCCUUCGGGUCGUAAAGCUCUGUUGUUAGGGAAGAACAAGUGCGAGAGUAACUGCUCGCACCUUGACGGUACCUAACCAGAAAGCCACGGCUAACUACGUGCCAGCAGCCGCGGUAAUACGUAGGUGGCAAGCGUUGUCCGGAAUUAUUGGGCGUAAAGCGCGCGCAGGUGGUCCUUUAAGUCUGAUGUGAAAGCCCACGGCUCAACCGUGGAGGGUCAUUGGAAACUGGGGGACUUGAGUGCAGAAGAGGAAAGUGGAAUUCCAAGUGUAGCGGUGAAAUGCGUAGAGAUUUGGAGGAACACCAGUGGCGAAGGCGACUUUCUGGUCUGUAACUGACACUGAGGCGCGAAAGCGUGGGGAGCAAACAGGAUUAGAUACCCUGGUAGUCCACGCCGUAAACGAUGAGUGCUAAGUGUUAGANGGUUUCCGCCCUUUAGUGCUGCAGCUAACGCAUUAAGCACUCCGCCUGGGGAGUACGGUCGCAAGACUGAAACUCAAAGGAAUUGACGGGGGCCCGCACAAGCGG
rnacentral:rRNA from 1 species